UACGUAGGUGACCAGCGUUGUCCGGAUUUACUGGGCGUAAAGCGCCCGCAGGCGGCUUGCCAAGUUCGAUGUGAAAUCUCCCGGCUCAACUGGGAGGGUGCAUCGAAAACUGGCAGGCUUGAGGCAGGGAGAGGGAUGUGGAAUUCCAGGUGUAGUGGUGAAAUGCGUAGAUAUCGGGAGGAACACCAGUGGCGAAGGCGACUACCUGGCCUGUUCUUGACGCUGAGGCGCGAAAGCUAGGGGAGCAAACGGG
rnacentral:rRNA from 1 species